GAUGAACGCUGGCGGCGUGCUUAACACAUGCAAGUCGAACGAUGAUGCCCAGCUUGCUGGGUGGAUUAGUGGCGAACGGGUGAGUAACACGUGAGCAACCUGCCCCUGACUCUGGGAUAAGCGCUGGAAACGGCGUCUAAUACUGGAUAUGUCCCAUCACCGCAUGGUGUGUGGGUGGAAAGAUUUUUCGGUUGGGGAUGGGCUCGCGGCCUAUCAGCUUGUUGGUGAGGUAAUGGCUCACCAAGGCGUCGACGGGUAGCCGGCCUGAGAGGGUGACCGGCCACACUGGGACUGAGACACGGCCCAGACUCCUACGGGAGGCAGCAGUGGGGAAUAUUGCACAAUGGGCGCAAGCCUGAUGCAGCAACGCCGCGUGAGGGAUGACGGCCUUCGGGUUGUAAACCUCUUUUAGCAGGGAAGAAGCGAGAGUGACGGUACCUGCAGAAAAAGCACCGGCUAACUAC
rnacentral:rRNA from 1 species